UUCUUAUCAAGAGUGGUGGAGGGACUGGCCCUAUGAAACCCGGCAACCAGAAGUUUGAUUAACUUCAAGGUGCUAAAUCCUGCAGGUGAACCUGAUAGAUAAGUG
rnacentral:ncRNA from 1 species